UAGGGUCCCCCCUCCUUCUGCUCUGCUGGCGCUCGACCCAGAAGGCAGAGUCUCUCAAUCAAGCCAGAGCCCACCAUUUGGCUGGUAUUGCUUCUCAACUUAUUCUAGGAACCUCCCUAAGCACGGAUCUAUCUCUAUUUCCUGUUUCUUCUUGGUCUUUUUGAGCCUUAAUCAAUCACAGUGAGAGGCAUAUCUGUGAAGUGUGCAGCCAAGGUCCUUGGAAGGUCCUGGAGGCGAAGUUGGAGAGGAAGUACUGGCCUGAGGCCAAGGGCAGCAAAGAGUGAAAAGGGGCCGGGGACAGUGUACAGAGCAGUGGCUGGCUUGUCUCCACUAUCAGACUUUACUCCAGGAGGAGGCAGAGGCCGUGUGAGAGCCGUGCCGCUUCACCUGGCUCCUGACCUAUAUUGGAAGUGACAAACACGGGCUCCGAAAUGCUUACAAGGCACCUUGCCGGCAAGCACUGUGAAGUGAAAAUGAGACUAGAUGCUGAGCAAGUCCCACAAACUGUGUGCCCAAGCUCUGGACAGAGCAGAUAGACACAGUCUUCCUCUGAACUAUGCUUGCUGCAGUCCCUCCACCAGCAUGGAGAAGAAGCUCACAAGGACUGUCCUUCAAGCCUAUAUCCAUGCUCAGCUGUGCCAGCAUCUCUGGGCCUCAGGAACACCGAAGUCCUCAUUCUGAGCCAGGAACACAAUAGAAAUUUCGCAUGCAUGCUAGCAUUGAAGCCUGACAAUGACCACAUUGUCCCCAUUCCACGUGGCAAAGAGAAUAAAAAGACCAGGAGAUGGCAGAAGGACCGAGGACCUGGGGAGAAGACAGGAGGAG
rnacentral:lncRNA from 1 species